rnacentral:rRNA from 1 species
UACGGGGGGGGCAAGCGUUGUUCGGAAUUACUGGGCGUAAAGGGCGCGUAGGCGGCGACUCUAGUCAGAUGUGAAAGUCCUGGGCUUAACCUGGGGACUGCAUUUGAUACUGGGUUGCUUGAAUUCGGGAGAGGAUAGCGGAAUUCCCAGUGUAGAGGUGAAAUUCGUAGAUAUUGGGAAGAACACCGGUGGCGAAGGCGGCUAUCUGGACCGACAUUGACGCUGAGGCGCGAAAGCGUGGGUAGCAAACAGG